UACGUAGGGUGCAAGCGUUAAUCGGAAUUACUGGGCGUAAAGCGUGCGCAGGCGGUUCGUUGUGUCGGCGGUGAAAGCCCCGGGCUUAACCUGGGAAUGGCCGUUGAAACUGGCGAACUGGAGUGUGGCAGAGGGGGGUGGAAUUCCGCGUGUAGCAGUGAAAUGCGUAGAGAUGCGGAGGAACACCGAUGGCGAAGGCAGCCCCCUGGGCUAACACUGACGCUGAAGCACGAAAGCGUGGGGAGCAAACAGG
rnacentral:rRNA from 1 species